GUGUCACUUUCAUCCAGUUAUAAAAGUUUCUGUGGAUGGCAAUAGUGACUUGUGCAAAGGAAACAAUCUGGCGACAGUUAAAAACAAUCUGGUGACCUGGCGACAGUCAAAAAUGUGUCGUACACGCAACAUAUGAAAGUUGCAAGCGAUGUUUCCGUUUCAGCCCUUUUUUUAUCAAGAUAGGCUAAAUUAAGGUAAGAAAUCACUCCAGCUAUUUCGUCAAAUAUAUAUUCCACUAGUUUUUUAGUUAUUCUCGAUGCUGAUUUAUUAUCUGAUAUUUCGUUGCGUGCGUUGUCUCUAGUCGCCAACCGCGAGUCAACAAGGGGACUGGUGGAUUGGAGGAUACGACAACAGACCCCCCAAACUAGCUCCCGCCGGAAAAAUUCAAAGACACGGACCCCAAGGAACUCUUGCUUCCCCGCGCUUCGCCAUCACGGCUAAAUAUAUCUUUUACCUGAUUAGCGGAGGGUGCGAUAUAAAGACAGUUCGUGCAGAGUUGAUUGCCGACAAAAAGACGCCAGGCUUCAGAUGAUUCAUGAUCAUUCGGGGAGCUGCACUGGGGAGGCAAAGGAACGUCAAAAAACGUGAACGACGCAGCAAAACUUAGCAAUGAGGGGCGAUAUCAACCCCUUUAGUAGGCGGAGGUGCUCGGCGAGGUGAGGGAUUCAGAUAGUCAAACAUGUUUCAACCAGCCAUCAAGUACAGCCUACGGGAGAUAUUCACUUUCCAUCAAGUUAAGUUCGAGGGUGAGUGUCCUUGCAUUGUAGCUGGGGAAGGGAUGUUUCAAGCUAAGAAAGAGACCCGUUGCAUGUAAAUAAUGAUAAUAAAUAAAUAAUGUAAAUAGUUUCUCUAUGAACGAAAAUAGUUUUAGUUUUGAUCACACGUAAUGUCGCCUUUCAAGUCGUCGAAGUUGAUGUGACCCCAUGAGGCCGAGCUGACGUCAAUCAGUCUUACGCGUGCGCGUUGACCAAUAAAGGCAUCGACAUCCCAAGUCUUACGAGUCAUUGUCUCAUUGCAACUGCCGGUCUCGCUUCUGACAGCCUGCAAAAAUAGCAGAUAUAUAUGGUUAGGCCCUCAUUCAAAACAUAUACACGCAGCUGAGCGAGACCUUAAAUAAAUCGCGAGAAAAAAAAAAUGGCCGCGUGAAAUCCUGGGUGCGAGACACGCGUGCUUCUCGCGGUUUUCUUUCGCGUCACGCACGACGGGCCAAGCGAAAGAGAAACUGCUCGUAGUGUAAAUUGACGUGGUGAUGGCGGAGGCGCAAUGGCCUCAUGGUUAAUGCGCUCGCCUGCGCCGGAUCGAGCAGUCCCGGUUCGACCCCUGGCCAGGGAUAUUGUGCUGUGUUCUUAGCCAAGAAACUUUUCUCUCACAAUGCCUCUCACCAUCCGCCAAACUUAGUGC